GUGCCUGUGACGGUCGCAUUGGCCGAAAGAAGCUUUUCGAAGUUGAAAUUGUUGAAGAAUUAUUUGAGGUCAACAAUGACUCUAGUGAGGUUAAAUAGUCUGGCUAUAUUAUGCAUCGAGAAGAAAUUAUUGAAUGAGAUUGACAUCGACCCCAUCAUAAGUGACUUUGCAUCGAGGAAUGUUAGAAGAAAUUUUUAA
rnacentral:rRNA from 1 species